GACGAACGCUGGCGGCGUGCUUAACACAUGCAAGUCGAACGGAAAGGCCCUGCUUUGGUGGGGUGCUCGAGUGGCGAACGGGUGAGUAACACGUGAGUAACCUGCCCUUGACUUUGGGAUAACUUCAGGAAACUGGGGCUAAUACCGGAUAGGAGCUCCUGCUGCAUGGUGGGGGUUGGAAAGUUUCGGCGGUUGGGGAUGGACUCGCGGCUUAUCAGCUUGUUGGUGGGGUAGUGGCUUACCAAGGCUUUGACGGGUAGCCGGCCUGAGAGGGUGACCGGCCACAUUGGGACUGAGAUACGGCCCAGACUCCUACGGGAGGCAGCAGUGGGGAAUAUUGCACAAUGGGCGGAAGCCUGAUGCAGCAACGCCGCGUGCGGGAUGACGGCCUUAGGGUUGUAAACCGCUUUCGCCUGUGACGAAGCGUGAGUGACGGUAAUGGGUAAAGAAGCACCGGCUAACUACGUG
rnacentral:rRNA from 1 species